AUUGAACGCUGGCGGCAGGCCUAACACAUGCAAGUCGCACGAGUGGCGGACGGGUGAGUAAUGUCUGGGAACCUGCCUGCUGGAGGGGGAUAACUACUCGAAACGGUAGCUAAUCCCGCAUACCAUCAGAUGUGCCCAUAUGGGAUUAGCUUGUUGGUGGGGUAACGGCUCACCAAGGCGACGAUCCCUAGCUGGUCUGAGAGGAUGACCAGCCAAACGGGAACUGAGACACGGCACAGACGCCUACGGGAGGCAGCAGUGGGGAAGAUUGCACAAUGGGCGCAAGCCUGAUGCAGCCAUGCCGCGUGUAUGAAGAAGGCCUUCGGGUUGUAAAGUACUUUCAGCGGGGAGGCGGUAUCUGAAGAAGAAGCACCGGCUAACUCCGUGACAGCAGCCGCGGUAAUAC
rnacentral:rRNA from 1 species